GAUGAACGCUGGCGGCGUGCCUAAUACAUGCAAGUCGAGCGAACGGACGAGAAGCUUGCUUCUCUGAUGUUAGCGGCGGACGGGUGAGUAACACGUGGAUAACCUACCUAUAAGACUGGGAUAACUUCGGGAAACCGGAGCUAAUACCGGAUGAUAUUUUGAACCGCAUGGUUCAAAAGUGAAAGACGGUCUUGCUGUCACUUAUAGAUGGAUCCGCGCUGCAUUAGCUAGUUGGUAAGGUAACGGCUUACCAAGGCAACGAUGCAUAGCCGACCUGAGAGGGGGAGCGGCCACACUGGAACUGAGACACGGUCCAGACUCCUACGGGAGGCAGCAGUAGGGAAUCUUCCGCAAUGGGCGAAAGCCUGACGGAGCAACGCCGCGUGAGUGAUGAAGGUCUUCGGAUCGUAAAACUCUGUUAUUAGGGAAGAACAUAUGUGUAAGUAACUGUGCACAUCUUGACGGUACCUAAUCAGAAAGCCCCGGCUAACUACGUG
rnacentral:rRNA from 1 species